rnacentral:tRNA from 1 species
GCCGGGAUCGCCUAGCUCGGUAGGGCGGCGGCCUGCUAAUUGAGCAGUUAGCCGUUGAGGGAAACCUCACGCGGGUUCAAGUCCCGCUCCCGGCG